rnacentral:rRNA from 1 species
GCGCUCCUCUUGCUCUUCAUUGUGGCGUGCCUCCGCGGUGCUUACUCCGGCGGCGGCUGGAGCCGCUUCACCUCCAUAAUCAGCUUUGGGGACUCCUACGCCGACACGGGUAACUUGGUCAUGUGGGCUGAUCCCGUCCUUCCGGGUCUACUACUCAAGAACCUCCCCUACGGCGAGACCUUCUUCGGCCACCCCACCGGGCGUGCCACCGACGGCCGCCUGGUGCUGGACUUCAUCGCCGAGGCUUUGGGUCUGCCUUCUAUGCCGCUGUACCUCGCCAGGGGAAGCAACUUCUCCGCCGGAGUGAACUUCGCCGUGGUAGGAGCGCCGGCUCUGAACUUGACGUACCUGCAGGGACUGAACUUGACAGUGAAUCCUCCUAUUAACAGCUCCCUCCACGACCAGCUCGUGUGGUUCCAGAAACUCAAGCCUUCGCUCUGCAAUGGCAGGUGA